GAUCCUACGGGAGGCAGCAGUGAGGAAUAUUGGUCAAUGGCCGAGAGGCUGAACCAGCCAAGUCGCGUGAGGGAAGACGGCCCUACGGGUUGUAAACCUCUUUUGUCGGGGAGCAAAGCGAACCACGUGUGGUUCAUUGAGAGUACCCGAAGAAAAAGCAUCGGCUAACUCCGUGCCAGCAGCCGCGGUAAUACGGAGGAUGCGAGCGUUAUCCGGAUUUAUUGGGUUUAAAGGGUGCGCAGGCGGUCUGUUAAGUCAGCGGUCUAAGCCCGUGGCUCAACCCCGGCCCGCCGUUGAAACUGGCG
rnacentral:rRNA from 1 species